rnacentral:lncRNA from 1 species
AUCAUAAUUCAAUUCAUACACCUUGAAAACUAGUACUCCCUCCGUCCCAUGAAGCGUGACCCAUUUCUUUUCGGCACGGGAAUUAAGAAAGUGGUAUUUUGUGUGUUAAGUGUGGUAGGUGAAAAAGUGAAAAGGUGAAUAAAGGGUAAAUUUUUUUGCCAUUUUAGAAACAGGUCAAGCUUCGUGGGACAACCCAAAAAGGAAAGUGGGUCACGCUUCGCGGGACGGAGGGAGUAUUUAAUAGUACUAAUUAGAGUCUAGGCUCAAUCUGCUGAGCUUAAAAAUAGUACAAGUAAAACCAAUUAAUUGACCAUUUCGCUGAGUGAGGAAAAACAAUCAAGAAACUUUGCAGAAAAAAUGAAUUAUUUUUUCCAAAACGAGUGAAAAUAGGCUGUUGCUGCAAAAAGUAAAAGACAGAGAGAAAAGAAAUCUGACUGGAAGAAGGCAAUAUUGCCAGCAUGGACCAAGGAGAUAUCAUCGAUUGGCUGAGUGGAAAUCCACAUGCUCGAAUUAUAACGCCGAAUUUCGAAUCCAUUCCCGCUCCCAACGACGUCGUAGCUUGGGCACUCGAUGCUCUCGCAUGACGCCGGGAACUCUCCAACUCCGCC